UAGGUGGCAAGCGUUGUCCGGAUUUACUGGGUGUAAAGGGCGUGUAGGCGGGACUGCAAGUCAGAUGUGAAAACUAUGGGCUUAACCCAUAGCCUGCAUUUGAAACUGUGGUUCUUGAGUACUGGAGAGGCAGGCGGAAUUCCUCGUGUAGCGGUGAAAUGCGUAGAUAUGAGGAGGAACACCAGUGGCGAAGGCGGCCUGCUGGACAGCAACUGACGCUGAGGCGCGAAAGCGUGGGGAGCAAA
rnacentral:rRNA from 1 species